UUGACUUAUUGUAUAAGUUACUCAGAGAGGCCAAUGGUUACUAAGAGUUUCGGUCCUCUGACGGGUUGCCGGCCCCGGGUGGGGGCCGGCGCGGCCCCGGAGAGGGCCACCCGCCGAAGCAACGGUGAGGUAGGUUCACAAUGGUUGGGAGUUUUGCAACUCUGUAAUGAUCCCUCCGCUGGUUCACCAACGGAGA
rnacentral:misc_RNA from 1 species